ACGCUUGUCGGCACGCGCUUUCUCAGUUUUAAUCUUGGUGUGUGUUUACCACUGGUGAAUUUUGCUUAGGGUUCACGUUGCAAAAUGAAUAAUCGUGGUAGAAGUUGGUACAGAAACAAAGGAAAGCGGAAAAGACCAUCUGAAAUUACGGAAACACUCGGAGGGUCGAAAAAGGACAUGUCAAAUCCUACAGAUUCAAGCGAGGCAUGUUCGCUGUUCAAUCCAAAUAGACACAACUCCCCAUAUCAUAAUUGGGACUUAUAUUUCCACAACGAAGUGUACACCAAAGCCUCGUCGACAGUAAGAAAAAUUGAAGCAAUGCAAAGAUUUAUAAUGUCCCAUAUGGAUAUAUUUCCAGUUUCAAACUUGGAAAACAACAAACCUUAUCAUGUUGACAUUAAGAUCCUGCUUAAGGAUGACUCGUUUUAUAAUGAGUGGAGUAGUUUCAAAGAGGAUCUGACAAAUGAUCCGAAACAUACGCUAAAUUGCCUUGGUAUGGCAAUUGAUCAGAUGAUGAUUGAAACAAUCACAGCAAAAGAGGGAAUGGAUGAUGUGACUGUCUCAGCUAACUUGCCAAUAGCCGUAGUAAGAAUAUCCAAUUAUGGUCCAGUCCUCUCCCUGAGAGACCUCAAGGUAAAUUCUUAUGGUAAGCUAAUAUCCAUCAGAGGAUGUAUUAUGAGGGUUGGGAAUAUAAAGCAUUUUGCCCAAUGGAUGGAGUUCUUGUGUGUAUCAUGCGGCAGUCGCAUGAUCUCGAGACAAGUUGAUGGAAUUUACACCUUACCAACCAAGUGCGUUUCCUGUAAUGGAAAAAAAUUCCAACCUCUCUUGAGUUCGGUACAUACAAAAACUGUAACAUUUCAAGUGAUAAGAUUACAGGAACAUGUUGGCGAUGAGCAGGAUGACAAAGGGAGAAUGCCCCGUAUUAUUGAUGUCGACUUGAUAGAAGACUUAGUCAACACUUGUAUGCCAGGAGACGAUAUUACCGUGACUGGAAUCAUUAAAGUCAGAGGAAACGAGAAGAAUUCAUCGAAAGGAAAUACUGCCGCGAACUUGUUUUCUUUAUACAUGGAAGCUGUUUACAUAUUAAAUAAUAAAUCGCAAAACAAAUGUGCUGUUGCACUUGAUCUGACUGAUGUAGAUCACCUUGCAGUAAAGGAAGUCUAUCAUGAUCCAAAUGUAUUCAAAUUACUUGUGCAAUCCCUCUGUCCAAGUAUUUAUGGUCAUGAACUCAUAAAAGCUGGACUCAUUCUAAGCCUGUUCGGAGGCAGCACAAAAUCGCAGGAUGUGCGCGAUGAUGUCCAUGUUUUAGUUGUCGGUGACCCCGGUCUUGGAAAGUCACAAAUGUUGCAAGCUUGUGCUCGUGUUGCAGCCAAAGGUAUUUAUGUAUGUGGUACUUCUAGUACCUCGACGGGUCUAACUGUUACUCUUGUGAAAGAUGCCAGUACCGGUGACGUCGUUCUUGAACCUGGAGCACUUGUUCUGGCUGAUAAAGGCACCUGUUGCAUAGAUGAAUUUGAUAAAAUGUCAACGCAACAUCAAGCAUUACUUGAAGCGAUGGAACAACAAAGUGUCAGUGUAGCUAAAUCAGGGAUGGUAUGUUGCCUUCCAGCUAGGACGUCAAUCUUGGCAGCUGCCAAUCCAGCUAGAGGACGCUAUGACAGGUCCAAAACUGUAAUUGAAAAUUUGAACAUGAAGCAGCCUCUGCUUUCACGUUUCGAUCUAAUAUUUAUACUCUUAGACCAACCUGAUGCACAUUUGGAUGAUUUACUCUCCGACCACGUUAUGGCUGUACAUGUUGGUAUAAGCAACCAAAUUGGAGAUAUGAGGUCUAACAGUACCAAUUCGUUAUCGACUGGUGAAUCCUCCAUGUCAGCAAAUAACUUGAGGCAAAAAUUGAGUUUAUGUCCAACUGAGACCAUUGACCCAAUACCACAUCGUAUUCUUCGAAACUAUAUUAUAUAUGCUCGGCAAUAUGUUAAACCAAAAAUAACACCUGCUGCAGUAGAAGUAUUGAAGGAUUUUUAUUUAAAAUGUCGAGCGCGAAACGACAGGGAGAAAAUAACGCCCAUGACACCAAGGCAAUUGGCAGCACUAAUCAGACUGACUGAGAAGCUGAUCUGGAGCUCUAAUACCUCAUUUUUAGGCAAGAGCGAAGUUGGAAUUAAGAGAAGAAGCCACGCAUAGUGAUGCUUUGGAAGUCAUUGAGAUAAUAAAGUUCAGUAUGGCAGAGGUAGAUGUGGAACACAUUGAGCCUGAUUAUUCACUAUUGUCUGGAUCUGGAAAAUUAACAGCUGCUAAGGUGAAAGCGUUUAUAAGUUUAUUGAGAGAUAAAGCAGCUGCUAUGGAAAAAACAGUAUUUUCAACAAGGGAAAUGAGAGACUUGGCAACGAAAGAAAAAAUUAUUGUAGAUG
rnacentral:misc_RNA from 1 species